GGUUUUUGCAGGUCAAAAAGCUAAGCGAAACAGGUUCAAAGUCUUCAGAAACUCAAACAUGUCACUUUUUACUUUCCUGUGAGAAGGGAAAGUGUUGGAGUGCAGACCUCCUUAGCAGCAUUUUCGCCAUUUAUUUGGUACCCAUCUUUGGCUUAUUAAAUAUCCCAAUCUGUCGUGGUUGCAUGGAGAUUUCAGAAAGAGGGAGAAGCGAGAAUGAAGGAGUCGAAGAGAUGCUAAAAAAGAAAGUAAAAAAAAACAGAGGUGCUAAUGGAAAAUUGAUUGACAGGUACAGGGCCUCCUGGCUGGGAGGCUAAGCUAAGCUAAGCAUACAGAUAGAGCUUUUACCUAACACCCAUGAAAGCACAUGCUGUAGGGACCCGUGGGGAAAUAAAUACUCCCCUGUCCUGGUGGAGUAUCUUCGAAUUGAACAGGAAGGUUGGGGAAAUGUAAGGCUCUGGAAACUUAAUUCCAUGGUUUUCAUUUUACCAAUGACACAAUCAAAUUCCAAGCAGUCUUAACCUUUUUCUUUGUUCUGUUUGAAUGGAAGCAGAUUAGCGCCAUGAAUCUGGGUUUUAUUUUCUCGAUCAUUGAUUUCUUUUCCAAGAGAGCCAGACAAUGAUGCUGUGAAUAUUCCAAUAUCCCAUGAUUCAGUGCAUUUAUGCUCUGGGAUUUCUUGGAAUUAAUUAUCCAAUCAGUAUCUCUGAUUUUGGUUUUUUUUUCCCUGUUGCAGGAGCCUAAGGUUGAUCCAAGUGGACCUUCAGGCCUUGGUUUCUAGGCACUAGUUGAAGGGUAACGGUCGUAGAAAGAAGGCCAUCAAACUUACAGAUGCUUUCACAUAUUACGAUGGGGCUCUUUUUUCUUCAUUUGCCACCAUAUUUAUUAGUAGUUGCUUAACCUUUUUUCCUUCACACGUCAUUUUCUUACCUUGCAAAUAAUAUAUGUAAUUGGGUCGAAAGAGAAGAUAAUGCCUUUUUUUUUUAAGACUAUUUAGUAAUGUUGCUUUGCUUGGAUCAAAAUUUUAAACAAUUUUGAUUGAUUAAAACACGAUAGACAUGUGAAAAGAGUCUCCAUGGUCCGUAUACACAGAUGACUGGUCUGGUUCAGACCAAAAAUUGACAUGAUGAAUGGCAUGAGGAUGAGAUACCUAUUGAAAAAGAGACAAGUGCUUUUGUCCACCCGUGACCUAUCAUUUCAUAAUUUUCCCAACCCAAUGUUAGUAGCAGUAACAGCAGGGUUUUAUCAACUCCAUCACAUGGGGCUAGCUAGGAGAGGAUCCUUCAUCUUACAAUCAUUACUGUGUAUGCUCAAGCCUUUAAUUUCUUUUUUUAUUUUUUAUUUUCUUGCGGUAUGUAUUCAAGCCAGUUAAUUGGUUUUGAAGGUUAUACCAAUAAAAUAAAAGUUCUUUCCAUUG
rnacentral:lncRNA from 1 species